AUUUAAUAAGAAAAUAUGUUUAAAUCUUUAAAGUCUCAUAUUAUGACACAUAUAUACACAUAUAUAACUACAUUAUAACAAUAGAUUACACAGAUCUGUGUGAUUAACAUGUUUGAUAUACAUUUUACAUAUAGUUUAAAUCGAGCAUGAAAAAUAAUCCUGUGAUAAUAUAAAAAAAAAUCAAUAAUUAUUCCAUGAUGACAAAAUAAACCUUAGCAGUUUUAAUGACCUCCAUUCAAAACAAUACAUUAUCAUUUUCACACUCGAUUCUCAUCCCCCCCUUUUGUGGUUGAAAUUUGGUUGUUUAUAUAGGGAUUCACUGAAGGCAGAAAAUUUCUUGAUCCGCCACUCGAUUCUUUUACACAUGUCUUUUAAGAGAUUAAUAAUAAUAUCUUUACAUUGUGUCCAAGGUCACAUUUCGUCUAAAAACUUUAACUAAGAGGUAACUGAAUUUAAUUCUGAGCUUGACCUACGUCUUACUGUCGCAAAUUGAGUUUACGUCCAUCGAUCUGGGCUAUUUAAAAAAAAAAUUCUUUAAACCGUCAUUGACACCUCAAUUGUGGUUACUGACUGCUAAGCUUAGUUUUAACAGAUCGACGUUCUUGGCAGUAAUCAUAAUAUGGCAAGCAGUUUUACUAUGUAUUCUUACUUCAUUAUAACUUAUAAACUUUAUGAGAUAUCUCAUAUAGUUUUGAAGAUGUCUUAUCUAGAUUAGAAGGUACCUCAUAUAAAUUAUAAGAUAUCUGAUAAAAUGUUCUUUGUAAUAUAUUUUUACUUAUUACUUAUUAAAACUAGUCAAGAUUAUAUAAGAUAUCUUAUAGAUAAUAUGAGAUAUCUUGUAUAUUAAUUGAGAUAUGUUAUAUAUCAAAUGAGAUAUCUUAUAUAUUACAUGAAAUUUCGUAUAUAUUAUAUGAGAUAUCGUGUAUAUAAUAUGAGAUAUCUGAUAUAUUCUAUGACAUAUGAGAUAUAUUAUGUUAUAUGAGAUAUCUGAUAUACCUAGGGCUGAUAAUACAUGCGAUAUGAAAAAUGCCAUGUAAUAAUCUGAUAUUAUAUGUUAUAGCAGAUAUCUUACAUAUCAUAUGAGAUACUUUAUGACAUAUUUUGAAGUUAAAAUAAAUAGUAAAACGGCUUGCCAUAUUGUGUACGUGGUAGGUAACAUAGGGCUGAAUAGUCAACAACAUUACAUUUCUAGUUUUAAAAUUAAAUAUAGGAGAGUUUAUAUAAUUUUGAUAUCGCAUAUAUAUAUUUAAGGAAUGACUGUAAUAUUUUUUCUGUCUAUGAAGAAAUAACAUAAAAAAAUUGGUGCACACUGAAUAACGCGCGUAGCGGUUUAUCUAACCGUGUGCACCACAUUUUUUAUGUUAUUUCGAAUAGACAGAAAGAUGUUACAGUCAUUUCUUAAUAAUUUUAUUUUGGAUGUAACGCGUCUUCUGAUUGGCUGACGUUAUUUUGUUAUGAGCAGACAAAAUUUAGUCAUGUGACCGUGACGUCAUCAACGUUUUUUUCAUGGUUUUCUACGGUUUAAAAUGGAAGUUAGAAUUAAAUUAUAAGAAAUGACUGUAAUAUUUUUUCUGUCUAUUAUAAAAACUUGAUGACGUCAAGGUCACACGACUACAUUAUGUCUAUGGGUUCAUAACAAAAUAAUGUCAGCCAAUCAGAAGACGCGUUACAUCCAAAAUAAAAUUAUUUAAUGAUAAUGAACUGAUUCGCUGUAAAUGACUUUUGGCGUAAAUGUGUGGAAAUAAAACUUAUAGGAUGUUCGCUCCUCUCGUUUUAGUAUGUUUUCUG
rnacentral:lncRNA from 1 species